GAUGAACGCUAGCUACAGGCUUAACACAUGCCAGUCGCGGGGCAGCAUGGGGGUUGCUUGCAAUCCCCGAUGGCGACCGGCGCACGGGUGAGUAACGCGUAUCCAACCUGCCCUUCACCACGGGAUAACCCGGCGAAAGUCGGACUAAUACCGUAUGUUGUCCAUUGACGGCAUCCGAUUUGGACGAAAGGCUUGGCGGUGAGGGAUGGGGAUGCGUCCGAUUAGCCAGACGGCGGGGUAACGGCCCACCGUGGCUACGAUCGGUAGGGGUUCUGAGAGGAAGGUCCCCCACACUGGAACUGAGACACGGUCCAGACUCCUACGGGAGGCAGCAGUGAGGAAUAUUGGUCAAUGGGCGUAAGCCUGAACCAGCCAAGUAGCGUGCAGGAUGACGGCCCUAUGGGUUGUAAACUGCUUUUAUGCGGGGAUAAAGUGGCCCACGUGUGGGCUUUUGCAGGUACCGCAUGAAUAAGGACCGGCUAAUUCCGUG
rnacentral:rRNA from 1 species